CAGCAGCCGCGGUAAAACGAAGGGGGCUAGCGUUGUUCGGAAUUACUGGGCGUAAAGCGCACGUAGGCGGAUAUUUAAGUCAGGGGUGAAAUCCCGCAGCUCAACCCCGGAACUGCCUUUGAUACUGGGUAUCUCGAGUCCGGAAGAGGUGAGUGGAAUUCCGAGUGUAGAGGUGAAAUUCGUAGAUAUUCGGAAGAACACCAGUGGCGAAGGCGGCUUACUGGCUCAUACUGGACGCUGAGGUGCGAAAGCGUGGGGAGCAAACAGGAUUAGAUACCCGAGUAGUCCCUGUCUCUUAUAC
rnacentral:rRNA from 1 species